UACGUAGGGGGCAAGCGUUAUCCGGAAUGAUUGGGCGUAAAGCGUCCGCAGGUGGCAAUGUAAGUCUGCUGUCAAAGCGUCUGGCUCAACCAGAUAAGGGCAGUGGAAACUAUGAGACUAGAGUAUGUUAGGGGUAGAGGGAAUUCCCAGUGUAGCGGUGAAAUGCGUAGAGAUUGGGAAGAACACCGGUGGCGAAAGCGCUCUGCUAGGACAAUACUGACACUGAGGGACGAAAGCUAGGGGAGCGAAUGGG
rnacentral:rRNA from 1 species